UGCCUAAGUUUUCCUCGGCAGUUAACUGCAGCCUGUUCUUUAAAAUUUCAGCAGUUAACUCCCGAGGGGCAU
rnacentral:pre_miRNA from 1 species